GCAUGGCUCAGUGGCUGAGCAUCUGUUUAGCAUGCAGAAGCUCCCAAAGUUUAAUCCCUGGCAUCUGCA
rnacentral:tRNA from 1 species